GCGCCGGUGGUGUAAGGCGAACACCGUUGCCCGGAAAGCAGAAGAUGCGGGUUCGAGUCCCGCCUGGCGCA
rnacentral:tRNA from 1 species